rnacentral:rRNA from 1 species
GACAGAGGGUGCAAACGUUGCUCGGAUUUACUGGGCGUAAAGCGCGUGUAGGCGGGAAGAUAAGUCGGGUGUGAAAUCCCUGGGCUCAACCUAGGAACUGCAUCCGAAACUGUUUUUCUAGAGUGGUGGAGAGGAGAGCGGAAUUCCCGGUGUAGAGGUGAAAUUCGUAGAUAUCGGGAGGAACAUCGGUGGCGAAGGCGGCUCUCUGGACACUUACUGACGCUGAGACGCGAAAGCGUGGGGAGCAAACAGG